GUUUUGUUUACCAUUUUUUUCCUUCUAGAGUAUGCAGCUCCAGGAAUCAUCAUCAUCAAGGAACAGAGUGCAGUGGAGCACUUCAGAGUUUAUCUGAGUCUUCACAGUUCCCCACAUCCUGGAACGAAGUCACAUCCUGGAAUCUUGUCAAGCUACAAGGAUACGCACGAUGAAUGUUACCACUUGAGACUUAUGAUGGAGGGGGCACUGUUCAGUAGGAUUUGAGUAAAAAUAACGGGCCAAAGAUCACAUUUCAGCAAAAGCACUAUUUUUCUUGUGGACAUUUCUUUAGUUUAUAACCACAACAUGCAACCCCAAGCACCAAAAAACAAAAAACAAAACUAGCAAGAGAAACCAAAAAGAACUGGGGAAUAAAAGAGAGAGAAAAGAAAGCUUUCAAGAAUUUGGAAAGCUUAGCACACCCUACCUGUCUGCUACAUUUGCAGCAGACUUUUGUUGUUUUCCUCAAAACUGAGACCAGUCCCA
rnacentral:lncRNA from 1 species